AAGGAAACAAUUAUCAUCUUCAGUUUUGAGAGACUUAAGAAAGUUUUUCAUUGUAACUUGCUUGCAAAUUGUAUUUGCAACAUUUUAAUCUUUUUAAGAUUAAGGGCCUAUAGCUCAGUUGGUUAGAGCACACGCCUGAUAAGCGUGAGGUCGGUGGUUCAAGUCCAUUUAGGCCCACCAUAACCACAAAUAGGCAAAAUCUUAAAAAAGCUCUUUGAAAAGUAGAUAAACGAAGGUUAAAAAAUCAAAGGAACUAAGGGCGCACAGUGGAU
rnacentral:misc_RNA from 1 species